UACGGAGGAUGCAAGCGUUAUCCGGAUUUAUUGGGUUUAAAGGGUGCGCAGGCGGACCGGUAAGUCAGGGGUGAAACUUUACAGCUUAACUGUAAACGUGCCUUUGAUACUGUCGGACUAGAGUUUAAGAGACGUAAUUGGAAUGUGAUGUGUAGCGGUGAAAUGCUUAGAUAUAUCACAGAACGCCGAUCGUGAAGACAGAUUACGAACUUAAUACUGACGCUCAUGCACGAAAGCGUGGGGAUCAAACAGG
rnacentral:rRNA from 1 species